rnacentral:ncRNA from 1 species
CUUAUCAAGAGAGGCAGAGGGAACAGGACCGAAGAUGCCCGGCAACCUGUCAUUUCGGACAAGGUGCUACUUCCUGCACGGAUUUGUAUUCCGUGAAAGAUGAGA